CCAUAGACUAAAUAUAUAUAGAUACGCCACUCCCCUGUUGGGGCUGGCGACACUACCGCCACGCCAAAAUUACACCUGGUGGCAAUUCACAGGUACUAAUUCUUUAUGUUGCCCUUAGGGAAUGUUCAAGAAAAGUUGUUUUCCCCAGUUUCAGUUCAAUUGGUUCGUUUGCAUCGUAGCAACAUUUGCUUUGCAAUCGUUGUUUAUUUUCUGUCAACAACAGCAGGGCUCCAAACAUUUGGAUAUUUUGAGUCAUCUUAGAAAAACCCGGUCCGUGCGGCUAUGACCACCCCAAAUCCCAUGUACGGAACCGAUUCUUUUGGUGGUUCACAUCGUGAGGCAUGAAGACAUGUCAGCAACCCCGGGUUGCCCUGCCAAGAUGAUUUGGCAUCCAUCCCGCCACAGCAAACGGAACCUGCGGUUCAACCGUAGCCAGCCGAAAAAAAUCUCCUGCAGCCACUGAUGCCAGCCCUAGUCUCGGAUACGUUAGUUCUGCGAAGCGCAGGUACAGUCCACCAUAAGUUAGCGGCCAUAACCCUGCCGGCGCAGCCUUUCUCCGUGCGAACAUUAUUGCAUCAAAGGCUUCACCAGGGCCUAGUUCCUCAAGGACCAGGUCGUGU